CACGUAGGCUGCUUGGUAAGUCAGGGGUGAAAGCCCGCGGCUCAACCGCGGAAUUGCCUUUGAUACUGCCGAGCUAGAGUCCGGGAGAGGGUAGUGGAAUUCCAGGUGUAGGAGUGAAAUCCGUAGAGAUCUGGAGGAACAUCAGUGGCGAAGGCGACUACCUGGACCGGUACUGACGCUGAGGUGCGAAAGCGUGGGGAGCAAACA
rnacentral:rRNA from 1 species